rnacentral:rRNA from 1 species
AUUGAACGCUGGCGGCAUGCCUUACACAUACAAGUCGAACGGCAGCACGGGAGCAAUCCUGGUGGCGAGUGGCGAACGGGUGAGUAAUAUAUCGGAACGUGCCCAGUCGUGGGGGAUAACGUAGCGAAAGCUACGCUAAUACCGCAUACGAUCUAUGGAUGAAAGCGGGGGAUCGCAAGACCACGCGCGAUUGGAACGGCCGAUAUCAGAAUAGGUAGUUGGUGGGGUAAAGGCGCACCAAGCCGACGAUCUGUAGCUGGUCUGAGAGGACGACCAGCCACACUGGGACUGAGACACGGCCCAGACUCCUACGGGAGGCAGCAGUGGGGAAUUUUGGACAAUGGGCGCAAGCCUGAUCCAGCAAUGCCGCGUGCAGGAUGAAGGCCUUCGGGUUGUAAACUGCUUUUGUACGGAGCGAAAAGGCUCCCUCUAAUACAGGGGGCUCAUGACGGUACCGUAAGAAUAAGCACCGGCUAACUACGUGCCAGCCGCCGCCGUAAGAC